AUCCAGUUGACGAGUCUCGAAUAGGACGAAACGCGCUUCAAACUGGAU
rfam:Schistosoma mansoni strain Puerto Rico chromosome 4, complete genome